UUCCUGAGAUAAAAACCUUUCAUUAUACACGAGAUAACCCACACACUAUCUAUACACUGCAAUUUUAUACAUUCAAACUUUAAAAAAUUCUCAACAACACAUCCUGACAAAACAUUUGAAAAGUUAAUUCAACCUUUCUUUUUAAUAGUGCAUCAUAGUUCACAACAUUAUACUCCGACUCAUCAAUGGGUAGCUGAUAUUGAGUAAAUACCAAUUUUAGAAGCAGAACAUUUGAUUAAAUCUCAUAGUUGAUUUGAAGCUAACCCGUAGGUAAAUAUCAUCAGAAAUAAGAAUACACGCUAUUAAUAUGAGAUUCCACCCAAAGUAAAAAAAGAACGGAUAUUUUGCAGAAAAUCAUUUAAUAUAAAAAUAUAAAAAUAAUAAUAAUAACAGAGAAUUAAAAUUUCAAAAAAAAAAAAAA